GGGAAGUGGAUCCCGGCGGCAGAGGCGGAGGCGUCCCCUGGUCCCGUCGGCGGCCGCGCCGCCUGGUUGAGCUUGAGCCUGAGCCUGAGCCUGAGCAUGGCCGAGACACACCCAGUCUCCCCAGAUCUUUCUCUUGGCCCGUCUUGGAUUCGGCUCGUUCAACGCUCCGCCUCUAUCGGUGUGGAGACUGGAGACGCACCUUCAUCCGGCGCCUCAUAUCAUUUCUCUACUUUUUGCAGCGUAUUAUUGCAGGGGAUCAGAUCGAGCAGGAGCUCAGAAUAACCGAUGUCGAUACCACCAGACGCGCCAUCUAGAGGUGGUGCUGCGUGCCUGCGUCAAAAUAUGACUGAGGAUGGUGAAGAUUACGCCCAGUGAAUGGUGGAUUCUGUCCAUGAGACCAAUAUCAGGCCCUCGGACUCGAACAACACGAUUUUGCGUGACAUUGAGUACAGAAGUAGCGAUGGAUGUAUGGAUAUCUCGAACCCUGUGUACCGGUUUGAUCUAACCUCAUACGAAUCGGUCUUCCGUAAAGGAUUUAAAGGGAGGUUCGAAAUGAACACUCCGAACAGCAUAUACUGCAACUUGGAACUUUACCUGCACCAUGGGGUAAUGCCUACUAUCACCCGAAGACCGGACAAUUACAUCUUUUUUAGCACUACCCUGAGCAGGUCCUGGUUUCCCAACGUGAGACAAGCCCGUAUAUAUCGCUAUGAGAUAUAUGCCCCUGGCGGUAUCUGGCUUGCUCAAACAUUUCGUGAAGGUGAGACAAGCCCGUGCAUAUCGCUGUAUGAAGAUGAGGUAGCCUUCCUUGUCGGCAUUGCUCCUCAGUAUAUUCGAUCUGCACAGGCUUUCCGGCUCAUACUCCUUAUCUAAAAAAGAAGUUCUCGUAUAACUUGAUUCUAUUUCAUUGACAUUCAAUUUGAUGCAGUUUCUUCUAAUAAUAAAAAAUAUUUACGUGUGUGCCCUGUUGUACUGUAGGAAUGGAGGAUGUGGAGAACGAUUGGAAGAUGUUCUAUACAUAAACAGAAACUUCAAUCCUCAGUCACAUCCACCAAGGGAUAUUCCUAUCAUACAUCCGAUUAUGGAGUACAUUGAUCAUAACAACCAGACAAGGCCUCUAAGAAUUCAAUAUGUGCCUGAAGAGAUAGAGAGUAUCUGGCCAUAUAGGCGAUCACUAGGAACCACAAAUGAUGUUCCAAUCGAGUAUUAUGCAGAGGGUGUGGCUCACAUCGCCAACUAUAUCGACUCUGCAUUUCGAUCUACAUAUUGGAAUGAAGUCUAUAUCUUCAUCAAGGAAAAGUAUGUUCUCGUGAACUACGCGCCUGGUUCAACUAAUGACAGGAUACUCAAUGGCCCACACUACAUAGGCGUUAGCUUCCCCUUUCUUGCGGGGACUGCUUUUGCCGAGUACGGGAUAGACGCUUCUUUCGGUUCUCAUAGCAGUGCUGAAGGCUGAAGCAAUCAUCUUUUCUGGGAACCUCUGCGCACGGAUAAACUUCGCACCAAAGACCACUGGUGGUUACAUUGUAGAGGGGAUCACAGCCAUCAGACAGAUGUUCCCUUUCUUCAGAGGGACCGUCUUCGAGAAGGGGAUAGAUGCCGCGUUUGAAUCCAUCGUGACCGGUGAAGCAUAUCUAUUCAAAGGCUCAAAUUAUGCUCUUAUCAACUACUAUAGGAAAGAACUCAUAGCUAUAACUCCCAUAGCAGUUGGGUUUCAGUGUCUGCGUGACUCUGAGUUUGAAGGAGAUAUCGGUGCUGCCUUUGCCUCGCAUGUAUGCAAGGAGGCUUACCUGUUCAAAGGUAACAGCUAUCCUCCUCCACUUUACCCCUGGAGAGAACAAGGACUACAUUAUUGACGGCCCGAAGGACAUCGUCCGUGGAAACUGGCCCUCGCUCGAUGGCGUCCUGCCCUGCAGAAACAUAGGGCUCGAUGUUAUCGGGUUUCCCCAUGGUAACCCUUUGCCUGACGCAUCUCCCCAUGGUAAUCCUGUGCCGGAUGCAUCUCCCCAUGGUCACCUUGUGCCGGCCGAGCACGUCCCGGAUGAGUCUGUAAUAAGAUCUAUACAUGGAUGUAUGUCUUUUCUUUUCCCCUACUUGUUUAAGUAACUUUGGACAUUGUGCAAAAUCAGGGUAUUUUUUUGCUUCUAUUAAUGUGUGUGAGAGCGUUAUGUUUCCUGUUUGCUGGUAUCCACAACUUAUUGUAAUAAAAGUCUGGU